UACAGAGGGUGCAAGCGUUAAUCGGAUUUACUGGGCGUAAAGCGCGCGUAGGUGGUUUGUUAAGUUGAAUGUGAAAGCCCCGGGCUCAACCUGGGAACUGCAUCCAAAACUGGCAAGCUAGAGUAUGGCAGAGGGUGGUGGAAUUUCCUGUGUAGCGGUGAAAUGCGUAGAUAUAGGAAGGAACACCAGUGGCGAAGGCGACCACCUGGACUGAUACUGACACUGAGGUGCGAAAGCGUGGGGAGCAAACAGG
rnacentral:rRNA from 1 species